rnacentral:rRNA from 1 species
GAUGAACGCUGGCGGCGUGCCUAAUAUAUGCAAGUCGAGCGAACAGACGAGGAGCUUGCUCCUCUGACGUUAGCGGCGGACGGGUGAGUAACACGUGGAUAACCUACCUAUAAGACUGGGAUAACUUCGGGAAACCGGAGCUAAUACCGGAUAAUAUAUUGAACCGCAUGGUUCAAUAGUGAAAGACGGUUUUGCUGUCACUUAUAGAUGGAUCCGCGCCGCAUUAGCUAGUUGGUAAGGUAACGGCUUACCAAGGCAACGAUGCGUAGCCGACCUGAGAGGGUGAUCGGCCACACUGGAACUGAGACACGGUCCAGACUCCUACGGGAGGCAGCAGUAGGGAAUCUUCCGCAAUGGGCGAAAGCCUGACGGAGCAACGCCGCGUGAGUGAUGAAGGUCUUCGGAUCGUAAAACUCUGUUAUUAGGGAAGAACAAAUGUGUAAGUAACUAUGCACGUCUUAACGGUACCUAAUCAGAAAGCCACGGCUAACUACGUG